AUUGAACGCUGGCGGCAUGCCUUACACAUGCAAGUCGAACGGCAGCACGGGAGCUUGCUCCUGGUGGCGAGUGGCGAACGGGUGAGUAAUACAUCGGAACGUGCCCUGAAGUGGGGGAUAACGUAGCGAAAGUUACGCUAAUACCGCAUAUUCUGUGAGCAGGAAAGCAGGGGAUCGUAAGACCUUGUGCUUUAGGAGCGGCCGAUGUCGGAUUAGCUAGUUGGUGGGGUAAAGGCCUACCAAGGCGACGAUCCGUAGCGGGUCUGAGAGGAUGAUCCGCCACACUGGAACUGAGACACGGUCCAGACUCCUACGGGAGGCAGCAGUUGGGAAUCUUAGGCAAUGGACGAAAGUCUGACCUAGCGACGCCGCGUGAGGGAAGAAGGCCUUCGGGUUGUAAACCUCUGUCAUGGGGGAAGAAGUAAGUGACGGUACCCCAAGAGGAAGCCCCUGCUAACUACGUG
rnacentral:rRNA from 1 species